UCCCUUUGCGUACAACGCUCUCUGUGAC
rnacentral:piRNA from 1 species